rnacentral:rRNA from 1 species
AUUAAACUGAAGAGUUUGAUCCUGGCUCAGAUUGAACGCUGGCGGCAUGCCUUACACAUGCAAGUCGAACGGCAGCACGGGUGCUUGCACCUGGUGGCGAGUGGCGAACGGGUGAGUAAUACAUCGGAACGUACCUUAUCGUGGGGGAUAACGCAGCGAAAGUUGCGCUAAUACCGCAUACGCCCUGAGGGGGAAAGCGGGGGACCGUAAGGCCUCGCGCGAUUAGAGCGGCCGAUGUCUGAUUAGCUUGUUGGUGAGGUAAAAGCUCACCAAGGCGAUGAUCAGUAGCUGGUCUGAGAGGACGAUCAGCCACACUGGGACUGAGACACGGCCCAGACUCCUACGGGAGGCAGCAGUGGGGAAUUUUGGACAAUG